GAUGAACGCUGGCGGCGUGCCUAAUACAUGCAAGUCGAGCGAACAGACGAGGAGCUUGCUCCUCUGACGUUAGCGGCGGACGGGUGAGUAACACGUGGAUAACCUACCUAUAAGACUGGGAUAACUUCGGGAAACCGGAGCUAAUACCGGAUAAUAUAUUGAACCGCAUGGUUCAAUAGUGAAAGACGGUUUUGCUGUCACUUAUAGAUGGAUCCGCGCCGCAUUAGCUAGUUGGUAAGGUAACGGCUUACCAAGGCGACGAUGCGUAGCCGACCUGAGAGGGUGAUCGGCCACACUGGAGCUGAGACACGGUCCAGACUCCUAAGGGAGGCAGCAGUAGGGAAUCUUCCGCAAUGGGCGAAAGCCUGACGGAGCAACGCCGCGUGAGUGAUGAAGGUCUUCGGAUCGUAAAACUCUGUUAUUAGGGAAGAACAAAUGUGUAAGUAACUAUGCACGUCUUGACGGUACCUAAUCAGAAAGCCACGGCUAACUACGUG
rnacentral:rRNA from 1 species